GUGAGUAACACGUGAGCAACCUACCCUCAACUUCGGGAUAAGCCUCGGAAACGGGGUCUAAUACCGGAUAUCACUUCCUGCUUCAUGGUGGGGGGUUGAAAGUUCUGGCGGUUGGGGAUGGGCUCGCGGCCUAUCAGCUUGUUGGUGGGGUAAUGGCCUACCAAGGCGUCGACGGGUAGCCGGCCUGAGAGGGCGACCGGCCACACUGGGACUGAGACACGGCCCAGACUCCUACGGGAGGCAGCAGUGGGGAAUAUUGCGCAAUGGACGAAAGUCUGACGCAGCAACGCCGCGUGAGGGAUGACGGCCUUCGGGUUGUAAACCUCUUUCAGCAGGGACGAAGCGAGAGUGACGGUACCUGCAGAAGAAGGACCGGCCAACUACGUGCCAGCAGCCGCGGUAAUACGUAGGGUCCGAGCGUUGUCCGGAAUUAUUGGGCGUAAAGGGCUCGUAGGCGGUUCGUCACGUCGGGAGUGAAAACUCGGAGCUUAACUCCGAGCCUGCUUCCGAUACGGGCAGACUAGAGGUAGGCAGGGGAGAGCGGAACUCCUGGUGUAGCGGUGGAAUGCGCAGAUAUCAGGAAGAACACCGGUGGCGAAGGCGGCUCUCUGGGCCUUACCUGACGCUGAGGAGCGAAAGCGUGGGUAGCGAACAGGAUUAGAUACCCUGGUAGUCCACGCCGUAAACGUUGGGCGCUAGGUGUG
rnacentral:rRNA from 1 species